CGGCCCCUUUCGCUGGGCGCGGCGGUGGGCACUGGAGCGUGCAUCGCCUGCCGGGCCGCCCCGCUUGGGGACAAUGGCUUCUCUUCGCAGAAGGGGCCUGUGCGGGACAAGAGCCUCCUUUGUGUUGGGAUUCCUGCCUUGGAGCGCGAGGGGGGUGCAUUCAGCCGGCCCUAGACACUCUUUGAAAGGCCCGGGUGCAACAGAAGACGCCGAAACACUAGCCUGCCUUCUGCCUCCCGCAUUCUUGCAAGCCCGACCGCCCCUUCAGCCUGCGGAGAAUGGCCCUGCGCCCCAGGAGCGGAGCCCCUGCCACAUUGUCCCUGGCGUGGUCAUCUUGGUUUCUCAGCGCCCUUCACUAGCCUCGAGACAAGAGCCUGGGCCGGAGCACGACAGCCGCUAACACAUGGCCCAACCUCCAAGGACCAAGCACUGGCGGUCCAGAGUCCUGCUCCCCGGCCUCGUGCAGACCCGAGUCACUCCCGGCGCUCCUGGCCGGCCUCCAAGACCUCCAGAGCCCCACCAGCGCCAUGAGGCUCCUGAACCCACAUCCCCACAUCUGACCUUGCUAGGCCUUCCCAGAACAGAGGAGCCGAAUGACCGACCCGGCACAGCCCACGCCCAGGAGCACCGCACGUUCUGCAGGACUCUGCCAUCACGACCCGUAACCCGUGCCCCACACUGAACUUCCACAGACACACACGGGCACCAGCCCGGGCUGGUCCCGGGGAUCCCUGGUCCAGCAAGGAGCCGACAGGGCCCUCCAGGUGUCCGACCCUCACGGGGGCGCCCCCACUGGUCUGAUCUGACCCAAUCCCCCACAGGUGUUCCUGGGAAGUGACCAAUGAGGCUGGGUGAGUGGCUGGUCCACGGCUGGUCCACGGCUGGCCCUUGGCCGGCCCACGGCUGGCCCACAGCUGGCCCACAGGGCUUCCAGGCCAGAGCCAGGGUGUCCUUGGGCCGCGGACCCAUUUGAGGACCCGAUGGCACCUCAAGAGGAAGGACCCCAGGUGCUGAGGCAGAGAGCCAGGCAGGUGCGGGGGCCGCUCCCAGAAUCCUCCAGCUCAGUGCAUGUGAGUAUCUCCUAGGGCCCCAACGUCUGGCACAGCCCUGAGCUGGGCCUCUGGGGGGCUGGUCCCUGAACCCUCUGCACCAGACCCGAUGCCCCUCAGCCCUGGGCAGCCCCCAACAGGGGGGCCCUGUGA